rnacentral:sRNA from 1 species
GCUGGGCAUGGUGGCGCAUGCCUGUAAUCCCAGCAGCUUGGGAGGCUGAGGUAGUAGGAUCACAAGUUCAAAGCCAGCCUCAGCAACAGCGAGGUGCUAAGCAACUCAGUGAGACCCUGUCUCUA